ACGAACGCUGGCGGCGUGCCUAAUACAUGCAAGUCGAGCGGAAUGAUGAAGAAGCUUGCUUCUUCUGAUUUUAGCGGCGGACGGGUGAGUAACACGUGGGCAACCUACCUUGUAGAUUGGGAUAACUCCGGGAAACCGGGGCUAAUACCGAAUAAUCCAUUUUGCUUCAUGGCGAGAUGUUGAAAGACGGUUUCGGCUGUCACUACAAGAUGGGCCCGCGGCGCAUUAGCCAGUUGGUAGGGUAAUGGCCUACCAAGGCGACGAUGCGUAGCCGACCUGAGAGGGUGAUCGGCCACACUGGGACUGAGACACGGCCCAGACUCCUACGGGAGGCAGCAGUAGGGAAUCUUCCACAAUGGACGAAAGUCUGAUGGAGCAACGCCGCGUGAGUGAAGAAGGCUUUCGGAUCGUAAAACUCUGUUGUAAGGGAAGAACACGUACGAGAGUAACUGCUCGUACCUUGACGGUACCUUAUUAGAAAGCCACGGCUAACUACGUG
rnacentral:rRNA from 1 species